GGCGGCACAGGUCUUCCUGGUUGCUGCCGCUGCAGAGAGCCCCUGGGCAGCACCCCACGAGCGAACUUGAGCCUCGGGACCACAGGGCAGGCUGGAUGACGACACUCAGCUGACAAUGUGGACAUCUCAACACAGUCACUGGACAAUGGCUGACACACUUGUCUGAAGACUGGAAAUGUUUCUCGAUCUUGGAGAGGAAAGAAGGACCCUCCAACUACACAGUCCUCUAAGGAAGUUUAUUCAGGGAGGAGAGUCUGGUGCCCACAAGAUGGCUGAAGGGGAGCUGAGAGUGGACAGCUUCAUCACCCGCCUGCUGGAGGUAUGAGGAUAUCGUCCGGGAAAAAUUGUGCAGAUGACUGGAGCAGAAGUCCGAGGGCUGUGUAUCACGUCUCGUGAAAUCUUUCUUAGCCAGCCAACAGCUGUGAACACAGGUUUCUUUUGGAGAGCAGGCCUGUGCAGGCCCAGAACCUAGGUGGGACAGUUCAAGCUACCCUUUUUCC
ensembl:lncRNA